rnacentral:rRNA from 1 species
AUUGAACGCUGGCGGCAGGCCUAACACAUGCAAGUCGAGCGGAUGAAGGGAGCUUGCUCCUGGAUUCAGCGGCGGACGGGUGAGUAAUGCCUAGGAAUCUGCCUGGCAGUGGGGGAUAACGUCCGGAAACGGGCGCUAAUACCGCAUACGUUCUGAGGGAGAAAGUGGGGGAUCUUCGGACCUCACGCUAUCAGAUGAGCCUAGGUCGGAUUAGCUAGUUGGUGGGGUAAAGGCCUACCAAGGCGACGAUCCGUAACUGGUCUGAGAGGAUGAUCAGUCACACUGGAACUGAGACACGGUCCAGACUCCUACGGGAGGCAGCAGUGGGGAAUAUUGGACAAUGGGCGAAAGCCUGAUCCAGCCAUGCCGCGUGUGUGAAGAAGGUCUUCGGAUUGUAAAGCACUUUAGGUUGGGAGGAAGGGCAGUAAGUUAAUACCUUGCUGUUUUGACGUUACCAACAGAAUAAGCACCGGCUAACUUCGUG